rnacentral:rRNA from 1 species
UGGGGAAUAUUGGACAAUGGGCGAAAGCCUGAUCCAGCCAUGCCGCGUGAGUGAUGAAGGCCCUAGGGUUGUAAAGCUCUUUUAACGGGGAAGAUAAUGACGGUACCCGUAGAAUAAGCCCCGGCUAACUUCGUGCCAGCAGCCGCGGUAAUACGAAGGGGGCUAGCGUUGCUCGGAAUCACUGGGCGUAAAGCGCACGUAGGCGGACUCUUAAGUCGGUGGUGAAAUCCUGGAGUUCAACUCCAGAACUGCCUUCGAUACUGGGAGUCUCGAGUUCGGGAGAGGUGAGUGGAACUGCGAGUGUAGAGGUGAAAUUCGUAGAUAUUCGCAAGAACACCAGUGGCGAAGGCGGCUCACUGGCCCGAUACUGACGCUGAGGUGCGAAAGCGUGGGGAGCAAACA